GUGGGGAAUUUUGGACAAUGGGCGAAAGCCUGAUCCAGCCAUGCCGCGUGCAGGAUGAAGGCCUUCGGGUUGUAAACUGCUUUUGUACGGAACGAAAAGCCUCUUUCUAAUAAAGAGAGGUCAUGACGGUACCGUAAGAAUAAGCACCGGCUAACUACGUGCCAGCAGCCGCGGUAAUACGUAGGGUGCGAGCGUUAAUCGGAAUUACUGGGCGUAAAGCGUGCGCAGGCGGUGAUGUAAGACAGAUGUGAAAUCCCCGGGCUCAACCUGGGAACUGCAUUUGUGACUGCAUCGCUGGAGUGCGGCAGAGGGGGAUGGAAUUCCGCGUGUAGCAGUGAAAUGCGUAGAUAUGCGGAGGAACACCGAUGGCGAAGGCAAUCCCCUGGGCCUGCACUGACGCUCAUGCACGAAAGCGUGGGGAGCAAACAGG
rnacentral:rRNA from 1 species